rnacentral:misc_RNA from 1 species
AAGUCGUAACAAGGUAACCGUAGGUGAACCUGCGGUUGGAUCAUUAACAAUUAUUAUUGAGCCCCCUUCUUCACGGGAGGGAAUAGGGUUCUCUAACACUUGUGUGCACUGUUUAUUGUCUCUCGGCGUUCGAGGGUUGGGUACCUGAGCAAUCUUGUGCCCUUUCGGGCUUUAUAUCCCGCCACGAGCGCCAACUUAAACUUGAUUUUAUUUAUACUAUAAGCCUUUAAUUUUAAAUUUUAUAAUUUGAAAACAACUUUUAACAACGGAUCUCUAGGCUCUCA